GGGCGUGUGACACUGGUCGGCGACGCGGCGGGGUACGUGACCAAGUGCUCCGGCGAGGGGAUCUACUUCGCGGCCAAGAGCGGGCGGAUGUGCGCGGAGGCGAUCGUGGCCGGGUCGGCGAACGGGACGCGGCUGGUGGACGAGAGCGACCUGCGCAAGUACCUGGCGGAGUUCGACCGGCUCUACUGGCCGACGUACAAGGUGCUGGACAUCCUGCAGAAGGUGUUCUACCGCUCCAACGCGGCGCGGGAGGCGUUCGUGGAGAUGUGCGCCGACGACUACGUGCAGCGGAUGACCUUCGACAGCUACCUCUACAAGCGCGUCGUGCCGGGCAACCCCAUCGAGGACAUCAAGCUCGCCGUCAACACCAUCGGCAGCCUCGUCAGGGCCACCGCGCUGCGCCGGGAGAUGGGGAAGCUCACCUUGUGAUCACCGACACACCGGAAACGUCCCUGACAUCCUGCUUGGGUUGCUCGAAGCUGCGGCGGAUCGAUCGGUAUAGCAGAGAUCCGCGGCCGAUCGAACGGAUUUGAGGCAGAGGAGAUGAGAAUAAAGAGGUAAUGGCGUCGAUCGAGAGGUCGUGUCUUGGUCGAACCUGUCCCAUUUUCUUGUACGGUGAUGUUCAGACUUCAGAACAGUUCGUCUGGAUUGUUGAAGCACGCCAAUAUUCGAUAUGUGAAUGAAUGUAGUAUAAACUAAGGUUUCAAGUUUUUUGUUCAUGUUUGUUCUCGCGAACGAGAAGUAGAAUGAAAUGGGAUAAC
rnacentral:lncRNA from 1 species